AAUGAACGCUGGCGGCAGGCCUAAUACAUGCAAGUCGAGCGGAGCGGCGGACGGGGGAGUAAUGCCUGGGUAUCUACCCGGUAGUGGGGGAUAAAGUCCGGUAACGGGCCCUAAUACAGCAUACGUUAAGAUGAGCCUAGGGCGGAUUAGCUAGGUGGUGGGGCAAAGGCCUACCAAGGCGACGAUCCGUAACUGUUCUGAGAGGUUGAUCAGUCACACUGGAACUGAGACACGGUCCAGACGCCUACGGGAGGCAGCAGUGGGGAAUAUUGGACAAUUGGGGAAAGCCUGAUCGAGCCAUGCCGCGUGUGUGAAGAAGGUCUUCGGAUUGUAAAGCACUUUUAUUUGGGAGGCGUUACCUACAGAGUAAGCACCGGCUAACUACGUGCCAGCAGCCGCGGUAAUAC
rnacentral:rRNA from 1 species